GUGAAUUCCACAGCCCCCACCCCUGCCCUCAGCCUCCUUCAAAGUGGCCGCUGGGGCUGGGGUCUGUCUUUGCAGAGGUGCCAGGCCACAUGCCCUGCCCACCUCUACCAGCUAUGCCGCCUCUGAAGUUCCUCCAGCGGCACUGAGGAGGGGCCCUGUGGUCGAGGGUGCAGUUAAACGAGGCCCGACCGGGUAGUUGAGCUCAGCUUGGCUGUACUUGUCUUCCUUGGACCUGCUGGGCACCCCCAGGCCUCUCUUUCCAGAGCCACAGGGGCCACCUGACAUCUCACAGGCUCAUCUACCUUCCAAGACCAGCUCAUCACUUCUGGCACCCCUCUCUAUAGUUGCCUCCCAAAGUCUCCCAUCUUAUACCCACGGCCCCCUGGGCAUCAAGCUGGACAUCUGGGAACAACCUUCAGCACCAAGUCCCCCCACCACUCAUCUGGACUUGCAAAAGUCUCCUUACUGGUCUCGCUGUCAUCCAGGAGCCAUGGUGAAUUACUUAAAAAUUCUUUUCUUCAGCGAGGCGCAGUGGCUCAUUCCUAUAAUCCCAGCACUUUGGGAGGCUGAGGUUGUGAGUCCCAUGAGGUCGAGGCGGCAGAAAGCAGC
rnacentral:lncRNA from 1 species